CCUACUGUACUGUCUUUGCCGUCACGGCACCAUGUUGUUUUGACAAAUGCCAUCGACGCCAGAGAUUAACGUAAUCGGCUGUCUCAUCGUUGACGGUGAUCAGGCCUACCACUGUUGUGUCGUCUGCAAACUUAAUGAUGGUGCCUGGCCAUGCAGUCGUGGGUGAACAGAGAGUACAGGAGGGGACUGAGCACGCACCCCUGGAGGGCUCCAGAUGUGUUGCUACCUACCCUCACCACCUGGGGGCGGCCCAUCAGGAAGUCCAUGAUCCAGUUGCAGAUGGAGGUGUUUAAAUGUAAGAUGGCUAAAUAAAGAGCAAAAUUGGUUA